ACGCUGGCGGCGUGCCUAAUACAUGCAAGUAGAACGCUGAAGCUUGGUGCUUGCACCGAGCGGAAGAGUUGCGAACGGGUGAGUAACGCGUAGGUAACCUGCCUCUUAGCGGGGGAUAACUAUUGGAAACGAUAGCUAAUACCGCAUAAAAGUCGGCAUUGCAUGAUGUUGACUUGAAAGGUGCAACUGCAUCACUAAGAGAUGGACCUGCGUUGUAUUAGCUAGUUGGUGAGGUAACGGCUCACCAAGGCGACGAUACAUAGCCGACCUGAGAGGGUGAUCGGCCACACUGGGACUGAGACACGGCCCAGACUCCUACGGGAGGCAGCAGUAGGGAAUCUUCGGCAAUGGACGGAAGUCUGACCGAGCAACGCCGCGUGAGUGAAGAAGGUUUUCGGAUCGUAAAGCUCUGUUGUAAGAGAAGAACGAGUGUGAGAGUGGAAAGUUCACACUGUGACGGUAACUUACCAGAAAGGGACGGCUAACUACGUGCCAGCAGCCGCGGUAAUACGUAGGUCCCGAGCGUUAUCCGGAUUUAUUGGGCGUAAAGCGAGCGCAGGCGGUUAGAUAAGUCUGAAGUUAAAGGCUGUGGCUUAACCAUAGUACGCUUUGGAAACUGUUUAACUUGAGUGCAGAAGGGGAGAGUGGAAUUCCAUGUGUAGCGGUGAAAUGCGUAGAUAUAUGGAGGAACACCGGUGGCGAAAGCGGCUCUCUGGUCUGUAACUGACGCUGAGGCUCGAAAGCGUGGGGAGCAAACAGGAUUAGAUACCCUGGUAGUCCACGCCGUAAACGAUGAGUGCUAGGUGUUGGGUCCUUUCCGGGACUCAGUGCCGCAGCUAACGCAUUAAGCACUCCGCCUGGGGAGUACGACCGCAAGGUUGAAACUCAAAGGAAUUGACGGGGGCCCGCACA
rnacentral:rRNA from 1 species